AUGGCGGCGGAGCAGGGGCGCAUGACCGGCACCAACCUCCGGCGUACCUUGUCCGAGCCAACUGGCGAGAUGAAGAAACCCGGGAAGCAGACACCCAUUGCUCCCUUCGUCAUGCCGCGGCAGACUACCAAGGGACGCCACCCCGUGCUCACCUCCGGCCCGGAGGGUGUUGACCACGUGGCUAUUCAGGUUACUGACAGUCCUGAGGUUCACAACAACAACUCCGGGCCACAGGGUUAUGACAAUGAGGCUAUUCCGGCUACUGGCAGCCCUCAGAUUCCAAACAACAACUCCGGGCCACAGGGUUAUGACAAUGAGGCUAUUCCGGCUACUGGCAGCCCUCAGGUUCCCAACAACAACUCCGGGCCACAGGAUGGCAACUACUACAACGAUUGUAAGCUGGCCGCUUUGGCUGGUCUUGCUGACUGCGCGACAGGCAUCGCAGCUCUCGUGUACAAUCGUCCGAGCAGCGACGGGCCUGUGUACCUCGUGGGUGUAGGAAUCGUCCUCGUCGCCGGCGUGGCAGAGAUGCUGGCCGCACUCUGGGUCGCAUAUGACGUCCGCAACCGUGGCGCCGCUGGGAGGAAGAUCAUGUACGUGUCCGUGUUUAUGCUUGUGCUCGGCAUCGUGGUUGGCAUCUUUGCCUACAGGCUCAAGAAGUGA
rnacentral:rRNA from 1 species